GGGAGCCCAAAGUCAAAUCAAAAUUCAACAUUUUUAUCAAAAACAAAGGGACUAAGGGAUCAGGUUGCAGCAUCUGAAAUUGAAGAAGAAUUUUUCCAAAUAAGACAAAACAAAAGAAAUAAGAAAGUAUUGAAUAAGAGAAUCAGAUCUGUGUAAGAGAUACAGGACAUAGUGCUCACAACGAAAGAGAAGCUAAAGAGAGAUAGGGGAAUGAGAAAAUCGAAGGGAAAGGUUGAUUCCAGGAACGACGAAAGCAUAGAAAACUUGUCAUUAUCAGACUAAGACAUCAGUAACAGAAGAAAAGUCAUUCUAAAAGAUGUGAAGAAGACGUGGGAGGUGGGGAAAAGAUUAGGGUUUAGUGUGCAAGGCGAUGAGGAGAUAGUAAUUGAAGAGAUAAUGAGGAUUAAGGGGCAACAACAGGGAGCUAUCAAAGGCAGAGGGAAAAGGAAUUCGGGAUACUGGUAAUUUCUAGCCUUAGACGGAUCGGAGCUGCGAGGGGCUCGGAGGAAGCCACACACACUGUUUAUUUUAUAGUUUUGAUUAUUACUUUUAAAUGUUUUAUGUGGGUUGUAGUAAAGCCGUUGUAAUUUUCUGGAUUUCAAAUUUGAAAUUUUACUUAUUGUUCUUAUAA